UAGAUAGAGAAUGAUGAAAGAGAAAAAGCAUAGAAGAUGAAAGCAUGAGAUCUGGAAAUUUGUAUGUUCUCUUUGCAAAAUUGGUGUGAUCAUAUGCACCACUAUCAAGGAGGCUUACCUCUUUCUUCAAAAGAGACUUUUCACUCUUUUCCAUCUCAAUAUCAUAUCUUCUUGAUUCUUUCUACUCAAGCUUGAAAAAGGCUAGAUCCAGUCCUUCAACCCCAUUGGUAGGCUUUAUGUUGAAAAGGAGGAAUUAUCAUAAUAGUUAUAAAAGGUCAUGGGCAUGCCCAACUUCAGUUUUUCAAAGAUCCUGUGUGUAGUGGGUUAAGGGGAGUGUAGCGGUAUCCUACCUCUUUCUUUGGUUAUACAUUGGUUUAAGCUCACGAACAUAGAUGAUGAACCGAUAAGGAUGUUGCAGAUGUGAUGAAGGAGCCUCCAUAAGAUGCUCUUAAGCCUCUAAUAAAAGGUAAGUCUCACAUUCUAAUUUUUUUGAGUUAAUAGCCAAAAUGGUUCCUGAGGUUUGCUUACUUUUG
rnacentral:lncRNA from 1 species